AUAAAUCAUGUUUUUAUUUUAAAAACAUAGCUGUUCCUUGGUGUUGGCUGAGUUCACCCUCACGUGGUGGUUUGGCGUGAAGUGAACUUUAAAGUUAUACCUCGGGAGUUAACUUACUCGCCUCUCCAACCGAGGUAAAAUAUAAUGGAAUUUCGUGCCCCUCUAAUAGGCUGGUCCACAGAAAACUCGCCCACUGCAGCAAGCUAAACCCACCAUACAAUAAAAUUCAACAAUAACAUAACAUGGCAAUUAUUUUAUUUUAUUUUACAGCCUUUUAAGGCAAAUCAAUAAUUUAUACAUUUCCAACACAUUUAUCAAAUCAACCAUUCAUGCCAAUAUUGCCAUAAGCUAAUCAAUUAGAAUCAUGAAUUUACAACGCACAAAAACAGUCUCCAAUUACUCUAUUUUCAAACCAUCAUUCAAUUUUAAAACAAUUUUAUGAAAUCAUUUCAUUAAAUCACAUUUUGUUUAUAAAAUCGAAAAAUUAAUCAUUUAAUUCAUUUUUCAUAAAAUUCACAAAAUCAAAUAAAACAUACUUUAGAUAAUUAAGAUGAUGAUAAGGUUACUCACUAUUUCGGGAGUCGAAUUUUUGGAGUGCUUCGACUAUCGAUCCUCGGGUACAAUUUUUUUACCCUUAUCAGAGGAUUCACCACCUUGACAUAGUACAAAAUUGACAAACUUACUACAUUGGUACUAAAUCGAAAUUAAACUAAUUUAGACUAUUAAUGCAUGAUAUGGAAUGCAAAAUGCACGAGUAACCAUUUAAACCCGAUAUUGGCCUAAUUCGUCUUAUCACCCGAUUAAUUGGCCAACGUGUCCAAUUUAGCUCCAAAUUGCUCCAUUUCUUUUCCAAUACCUUAAUUCACCAAACACAAGUCAAAUAACCUAAAAUUUGGCAAAACCAUCUUCACUUUUCUUCUUAGAAUUUUCGGUCAAUGCUGGUGCAUUAACACUGUGAUUUUUCCUACUACUUUUCCACACCAUAAUUCAUCAUUUUCUAACCAAUUCUUUUAAAAUAAAAAAUCAAAUUCAUCCUCACUCAAUACAAGGUAGGUUUGGCCAUUGAUGGGUGAUGGAGAAAAUGAAUUCUUUUCUUAUUGUUUUGUUUCUAGACAUGGUAAACUAACUAAAAAUACUAACAUAACUUGAAAUCAAAUCAAUCCAACAUCAUUCUCUCUCCAUACCCAUUCGGCUAGCCAUGAAUUCACCAUGAAAACAUGUAAUUUAACCAUGGAAAAUAAGGAGAAAUGCUUAAGGAAAAUAGAUUUCAAGUUUACAUUGAGAAAUCCUACCUUUUUCAUUUGUUUUCCUUGAUUUUUCACACUUUUUCUCUUGAAAUUCUCCACAUAGGGUUUGUUCUUUCUUUGUUU
rnacentral:lncRNA from 1 species